GAUGAACGCUGGCGGCGUGCCUAAUACAUGCAAGUCGAGCGAACGGACGAUAGGCUUUCUUCUCUGAUGUUAGCGGCGGACGGGUGAGUAACACGUGGAUAACCUACCUAUAAGACUGGGAUAACUUCGGGAAACCGUAGCUAAUACCAGAUAAUAUUUUGAACCGCAUGGUUCAAAAGUGAAAGACGGUCUUGCUGUCACUUAUAGAUGGAUCCGCGCUGCAUUAGCUAGUUGGUAAGGUAACGGCUUACCAAGGCAACGAUGCAUAGCCGACCUGAGAGGGUGAUCAGCCACACUGGAACUGAGACACGGUCCAGACUCCUACGGGAGGCAGCAGUAGGGAAUAUUGCGCAAUGGGCGAAAGCCUGACGCAGCCAUGCCGCGUGAGUGAUGAAGGUCUUCGGAUCGUAAAACUCUGUUAUUAGGGAAGAAAAUAUGUGUAAGUAAAUGUGCACAUCUUGACGGUACCUAAUCAGAAAGCAACGGCUAACUACGUG
rnacentral:rRNA from 1 species